rnacentral:sRNA from 1 species
AGUUUUUAAGAUCAAUUAUCCUAAAACACUAAUCAUAUCGUUGUAGUAUUUUAGGUUUUCAAUCCAAAUGGGUGUGAUGCUAACAAUCAAGAUGUGAUCAGAAGUCACUAAGUCAAGCCAAACAAUAACAAGUUUUGGUGUGUUCUACCAGUUCUGAGUGAACAUGCAGAAAACAGAAAAUCAAGCAGAAAGAGUAAAACACUGGACCAACACAGCUCGUUGUAGAGCACUGGGUGUGGUCGAGUGACAGGUCGAGUAACAGAUAGUAAAUAAAACAAAAAUACUCGACUGCACAAUCUGUUGUCAGACAACUGGGUGGUCGAGUACCAGAUCGAGUAACAAGAAAGAAUUACAGAAACUAAACAACAGAUGACAAGAUGCAGUAAACAACAGUAGAGUAAACAAUAAAAUCAAUCAGAUAAAGAAUUCCCGAGGAUGGGGUAAUUGAGUAGUUUCGUUUCCUCAGUUUACAGGUGAUUGACAUGCUCAAUAAAUUAUCCCUAGAGAACAAGUUCAUUAACCAAAUUUAAGUGCCACCGCAACAGAGACCCUCAAGUAAACCUAAUCCCAGACUCAAUCACCAUUGACGAGAGCUAACCUAACAUGCAUUACGAAUCAACAAGUUAAAGCCAAAACGCUCCCUGCAACCAAUACCUUGGUACAGGGCCACAAAUCUCUGGAAUUAGUGGUUCAGACAUUUCAUCGAACACCUUUUGGGCGCGGAAAUGUCUAGGCUAAAUUCUAGUUGAUCAGAAAGCAAUAGGCAUUAAGCACAACUAAUCCAGAAUGGAUCUAUCAAUCAAACUCAACCACCUAGCAUACUGAGAAUUCUAUACUACUCUAACUCAUCCUUAGAAACCUAUUCACUAGUCAGACAUCAUUGCAGAAAACAUAAACGUUGAAUAGAAUGAAAACAUGAUAACAACAGUGUAAUAGCAAGAUGAUAACAGGAUGAACAACAGUAAACCAAAUGAAGAAAAAAUACUGAAUAUUGAAUACUGAAUAGAUAAAGAGAAAUCCGGAUUACAAAAGGUCUAGAACAUAGUGUCUGAGGAAUAAAACCU